GCCAAGCGGCGCCGGGGACGCAGGAGCCGCGUGUCCGGUGUCCCUGACCCUAGCCCCCUACCCAUCCCACCACCUUCGGCGGUAGUAACCCGGGGCAUUUCUCUGUUACCGCGGUGAGCUGGGGGGAAAAUCUCCGACCCGGGUCCAAAUCCAGGCGACGGCCGUUGACUGCGACCGUGAGGCAGUGGCCGGGAGCGAGCGAGAGGAGUGACUCAGAAGCAAAGCGGAGGCGGCUAGAGACGACGAGAGGGACGGCAGCGGAUGCGGCUGCGGAUGGAGCGGUGACCAUCUCGCGCACGCCUUUCCCCGUGAGCGCUGCUCCUGGCUUUCCUUAUCUCCCCUGAGCAACCCCACCGCACCCUUGUCGGUGAAUCCGAGGGCCGGGGUUGGUCUCGGCGGCGGCAUGAAGCGGCAGAGGUCGUUCGGCGACGGCCUGGACGACGACCGGCGGAGGUUCUACGACCGCGGCCCCCCGCCGCCCCCGCCGCCGCGGCGCCCGCCGCGGGAGUACGACGGCGACAGGUUCGAUCGCCGGAAGGGGUUCGGUGGCGGCGGCGACAGGUUCCACGACAGCCGGUACCGAGAGUACCCCUCCCCAAGGGAGUAUGGUGGGGACCGGGCGAUGCACCGGUCCGAGAGCUUCUCUGGCUUCCGUCGGGAGUUCCCCAAGGGUUUCCGGUCGGAGCGUGACAGGUCGCGGCGGGAUGGUGACGGCAGCUCGACGUGGCGUCGGCCGGGAAGCGGGUGGAGGGACGCCGAGUGUUUUGAGGAGUACAGGGCACCCGCCAGGCUGGGAGCGCCAUCGCUGCCUGGGCAGCCGCGGCGGUCGCGGUCACGGUCGCCCAGUGAGCCGAGAAAGAGGUUUGAGGUUGCCAAGGCAGAGAAGCCGAGGAAGCACACUGCGGGCAUCAAUGAGGUGGAGGAAGGGGAGCUCGCACCUGAUGCUGAGCCCAAGGCCAGGCCUGCUGCCGUGGAGCAUCGGAAGCAGGUUGAGCCAAGCCGUGUUAAGGAGAAGGGGCUGGAGAAAGGUAAGGUGAAGAAAUUGAAUCCUGGGGUCCAAGCAAAUUUGGGAGCUCAAGCUAAUGAAGCCUCUAGUGCAUCUGAUCCUGACAAUGCAGCGAAAGAGGAGGAAGGCAAGAAAAGGGAUGGUGUACUGCUGGCUGAAGCAAUGGAUGAAGCAUGUGAGAAGUCUUCAGCGAUGGUUACAGAGGAAGUCAGUGGAGGACAUGAGUUACAAGCACUAUGUGUGGCUACCACUGAUGCUAGUAAGUUUGGGCUGACCACUUCACCCAUGCAGCAAGGAGUGGUGCAGGAGGAAGUGAAGCCAGAAGAAGAGACUACCAAUUCGGUUGACAUGGUUGGGGAGAGCACUUUCUCUACUAUGCUGAAGGAGGGUACUCAGGAAGAAGCAACAACAAGAGAUAAAACUAACAAUGAUACUGAUGAAGUCAGAGAGAGUGCUUCAUCCAGUUUUAGUCAAGCUGCGCAGGAAGAAGUGAUGGCAUUACACAAGACUGCCAAUGCUGCUACUGAGGUUGCAAAGAGCAUUUCACCUCUCAUUCAGCAAGAAGUGCUACAGGAUGCAGUGUUGGAGUUAGACAGUACUGGCCAUGCUGUUGAUGAGGUUGUGAAUAGAGCUUCCUCUGAUAUGCUGCAGGAAGUUCUUCAGGAAGAAGUGAUGCAACAUGAUGGAAGUGCCGAUGUUGUUGAUAUGGUUGAUACCGGCACUUCUGAUCUGCCGCAGGAGGCAGUGCAGGAAAAAACGAAAAUAUUGGAUGGAACUGCCCAUACUAUCGAUACUGUGGAACCGGUCAGUUAUUCUGGUAUGCUUAAGGAAGCGAUGCAUGAAGGAGAGUUGACAAUGGAUGAAACUGCCAUUACAACUGUUGUAGCAGGACAAAGUAAUUCAUCCGGUAUGGUGGAGGAAGCAAUGCUCGGUAAAGCAGUUGUGCGAGAAGUAACCUCCAGUGCUGUUAAUUCAAUUGGCGAGAGCAAUAUGUCUACUGGGCUGCAGGGAGAGGUGAUGGUUUCUCAAAACCAACAGGCUCCUGAAAGUAAAGAAUUUAAAAAAUUAACUGCAAUUGGAGAGAUGGAUGAGCCAACAGAAGAUAUCACAUCUCAGGCCGUAGAAGGGGAACUUGAGAUGCAUCAUUGCGAAAAAAGAGGUACAUCAGAGGAAACCAUGAUAGUAGAAAAGGAGGCAUCUGUUAUGCAUGAAAAUGUUGAGAAACAAGUUAAAGGAUUUGAUAUCGAGGCCAAAGCUGACUGUGCCCAUAUGUUCCUUAAACCAGCGAAAGAACGUACUGCGGGUAGUAAUGAAGGGGUUGCCAGUACAAGUCUAAUGACAAGGGAGAUGACUGAAGAUAAAGGAAAUGACAUAGCAUUUGAUGUUCUUAGUAAGAAAGUUAAAGUAGAUCAUUCAAGUUCAGUGGGAAGAGGUCUUGACUCAACAUUGCAGCUUGGUGUAGAACCAACACAAACAUCAAAAUCUGCUUCAGCCACUGUUGUAAAGACAGAACAUGACACAACCAAGCUAGAGAAACUUGAUUUGUCAUUGAGCUUAUCAGUUUGUUUACAGAAUUCUGAAUCUAAGUCUUCGAUUCCUAAAACUGCUUCUUUAGUCCAUGCAGCAUGCUCUCAGCCGUUACCAUCAUCAUCUUUCCUCACUAACUCAAAUGGGUUCCCAACUCCAAUACCAUUGACCAAUUCUCAAACACUUGGUCACGAUCCUAGUUGCUCACUUACCCAACAGUCAUUAGACAAUUAUGAACAUUCAGUAGGCAACAAACCUUUCUUUAUGGGAGUUGAUCAGAUGAGCAAUCACACAGGAAGGCAAGCUCAGCUAUCUAGUGAAUCUGCACAGAAGGGGAGUGCUACCCCACUGCUUCAGAGAGUACUCCAAAAUGGCCAUAUGGCAGAUAAUAGCACUUUGUCUGGGAUGAAAGGUCAUAACAGUGGAAUAUCCACUGACCUACAGAGGCAAAUCCCAGGAGUUUUGUCGCCAACGCAUAGUCGUGGUUCUCACGACUCUGGAUUGGAACAUAAUAGACAUAGAAGGCAACUUACAAGAGAGAGAAGUAGCAACAGCCUUACAAGGGGUGAACGGCAGGAGGGGGGACAACUUGUCAUUAAUGGUGCUGGUGUCAUUGAGAGGAUUAUUUCCAAGGUUGUUUCAGAACCUUUGCAUCUUACAGGAAGGAUGCUUCAAGAGAUGACAGAAAAUUCUAUAACUUAUUUGAGGGAGGCCAUUUCUGAAAUCAUAGUUGAUCCAGAUAAAAGAGGACAAAUAAUUGCUUUGCAGGAGGCACUCAAGAAAAGAUCUGACUUGAAUAUUGAUAUGUUGCGAUCAUGUCCACGUCUUUUGAUGGAAAUACUUGUUGCUAUAAGGACUGGCCUUCCAUACUUUAUAAAGAAAAGUAGUAGUGUUGCUACAUCUAAUUUGGUCGACAUUUUUCUCAACUUGAAAUGCCGAAAUCUCUCAUGCCAAAGCAUUCUGCCAGUGGAUGAUUGUGAUUGUAAAAUUUGUCAGAGGAAGACUGGUUUCUGUAGUUCUUGCAUGUGCAUUGUUUGCUCAAAGUUCGACUCAGCAUCUAAUACUUGUAGUUGGGUUGGUUGUGAUGUAUGUCUUCAUUGGUGCCACACAGAUUGUGGCCUACGCCACUCUCUUAUUCGAAAGGGGCAAAGUGCUUCAAGAGCAUAUGGAACUACUGAGAUGCAGUUUCACUGUGCUGCCUGUGGACAUCCAUCAGAGAUGUUUGGUUUUGUGAAGGAAGUAUUUCGUACAUGUGCGCGGCAAUGGAGGAACGAGAUGCUGGUUAGAGAGUUACAAUAUGUAGAAAGAAUUUUUUCUGCAAGUGAUGAUGUAAGGGGCAAGAGGGUCAGGGACUUCGUGAAGCAGAUGCUAAUUAAGUUGGAAAACAAGGCUUAUCAUCCUGAAGUUGUCAGAUGUGUAAUUGCAUUCUUUUCUGAUGAUGGUGCUAACUUCGGCAUUGAUCCAUCAGUACCACUGAAAGGCAUUCCAUGCAGCAUUUCUGAAGCUAUUGAUGGGAUUCCUAGUUCAAGUCGGAAGGCAGCAUGGAUACCGUUUACCUUAGAGGGACUUCCAGUUUUAGACAAAACAACUGCUCUUCCUACCACAGGGAUCCCAUCUGUGCCUAGAAAUUCUGGUGAAGCUAAGUUUGAGACAAUUGAUAAUAAGCCUGCCACUGAUGAACUGGAUAGCCUGAUCAGGUUAAAGCAGGCUGAAGCGUAUAUGUACCAGGAACGUGCAAAUGAUGCUCGGAAUGAGGUUGACAAUCUGAGACAUAUUGUUGUGGUAAAAAAUGCACGAAUUGAGGAAGAUUAUGCCACCCAAAUUGCUGAUCUUGACAUAAAUGAGUUACAAGAGCGGCGCAAGCAAAAGAUUGAAGAACUCCAAGUCAUUGAAAGAACACACCAUGAAUUUCGCAGCAUGAAAACUAGGAUGGUGGCUAGCAUUGGGGAGUUAUUGUCAAAAAUGGAGGCACUGAAACAAAAUCAAAGCACAUGAACUGAGGUUACCAUUGCAGAAAUUGAAGUUGCUCAACUUGUUUAAGGAAGCCUGCACAUAUUGUUGGCUUUCUUUGAACAAUAAUAUUUUUUGCAACAUUCGUGUCAUCUUCCUUGAACUUGAAGGCCACUUGGUAAUCUCGCUAUUCACGUACGAAUAGUGCUUCGUUACAAAUUACAAGGUGGUGGAAAGCAUCGAUAUAGUGAGGAGUACAUGUAUGAAGUAUGACUUUAAUGCCCGGGAAAGCACGAGAUUGAAGCGAACUGAUUGGUUAGAUUCCUUGUAGGACAUAUUUAGCCGGGUUUAAGUCCUCGACACAUGUGCAUCAGUGCAUGUGCUCGACAUUAAGCUUUUAGUAUGCGUGCGUAAUUCUCAAAAAAAGAAAAAAAAAUCCCAUGACCCCUCGGUAGCCAAUACAUGUAACACGUUAUGGAGAUUGGAGAUACCCAUUGAUUCGGCUAGAUUCUCAGAUUCAAGAAGUCCGAUUUUUUAGCA